GCCAACGCCAGCAGGUUCAUCAGCAGCAAGGUGAGGACACGGGCUUCUUCUGAAAGAGGGGACAGCCCAAGAGAAAAAGUCAAGCCACAGAGUCCUCUGCUCUAUGUAAACUCAUGAAGGAGCAAGAGACGGAGGGGAAGGAAGCCACAGAGUGAGCAGCAGUCACGGAGGUGCCUGGAAUGUAGCCCCACGGGCGGGGCUGUGUGUCCACUGGUUCCUGUUCUAUGGAGCUGACUUGAACACAGAGCUCAGGAGGUCAUGGCUGAGAAAAGGAGUCCCCUUCCCUGUCACCCCACUGCCUGUGGGCCUCACCGUGCCAUCAUCCCGAGG